rnacentral:lncRNA from 1 species
CGGGGGUGAUGUCCGUCUUUAUGCCCAGCAAAGCCAGCCCCAGUAGGAAGGAGGCGCAGCACAGGAGGAGAAGCGGCUUCUCCAGUCUCCCCAGUUCUUCAAUCUCAAAUAAAUCAUCUGUAGAGUCCCCUCCAGUUCCGAAAUUCUCUCUAUGUCUUGGAGUGUGUGGAAUAGCCAGGAAACCAGCCCAGGAGCUUUGACUCCCAGCCAUUCUAAGCAGAACUCAGUCACCCUUGACAGGGUUUCUAGUUCUACGUCACAUCCAAAUGGCUCAAGCCGGUGGCCAGAGAUAAGAAUUCAGAGACAUCUCUCCGGCCUAGAAGACUGGGCUCUCUCCUUUCCCACUGCUUCCUUUUAAAUGGGCCAUUCAGGCACCUUAAGCAAAAAGGAAGUUAGCCACACAUGGUGGCUCAUGACUGUAGUCUCAGCUACAUGGGAGGCAAGGCGAGAGGAUCUCUUGAGCCCAGGAG